rfam:Erinaceus europaeus unplaced genomic scaffold scaffold00103, whole genome shotgun sequence
UCUGCCCCUAGAGGCAUUACAGAUGUGACUGAUGUGUCACAUGUUUGUCAUUAGGUGGCAGAGAGAAGAGAGGCCUGGCUAUGUCCAAUGCUCUGACCUGUGAGCAGCUAGGUGACUGAUAGUCUGAACUAA